GUAGGUGGCAAGCGUUGUCCGGAAUUAUUGGGCGUAAAGCGCGCGCAGGCGGUUCUUUAAGUCUGAUGUGAAAGCCCAGGCUCAACCGUGGAGGGUCAUUGGAAACUGGAGAACUUGAGUACAGAAGAGGAAAGCGGAAUUCCACGUGUAGCGGUGAAAUGCGUAGAGAUGUGGAGGAACACCAGUGGCGAAGGCGGCUUUCUGGUCUGUAACUGACGCUGAGGCGCGAAAGCGUGGGGAGCAAACAGGGAUUAGAUACCCUGGUAGUCCACGCCGUAAACGAUGAGUGCUAAGUGUUAGGGGGUUUCCGCCCCCUUAGUGCUGCAGCUAACGCAUUAAGCACUCCGCCUGGGGAUACGGCCGCAAGGCUG
rnacentral:rRNA from 1 species